UGAGGCGCUGUCGUUCAGGCAGUUAGCUCAGUUGGUGGUCCAUCACCCUUGCUGAGAGAGCUCCGGUAUGGUGUCCACUUGGAGGGGAGCCAAAUCAUCUACACUUGCCAAAAAGGAUGCACCGAUCCAGAAAUCAGUGACGCAAAACGUCAUUUUGAGAACUUGUCGAUUAUUUGCUGGAAAAGGUAUGUUUUGUGGUGGGAGACAAGUAACUUUGAGUAGCUUCUGGUAAGUUUGUGACAUAGCUGUUGAAACAUUAAAAGUGAAUGGGAGUAAUGCAUCUUUCACAGAAGCCCAGUAGUUCUAGUCUAUGUGACAUCCUCGGAAGAAUGCAGGAAAUAGACCGAUGUUGUUAUUCAAUAGUAAAAAAACAAUUAACUGGUUGGGGGAUGGGGGCAGGUGGGGGGGAAGUGCUCAUUGCUGUCAUUUAGCAAUUUAUCCUAGAAAGGACUGUUCACGGCUCACAACUUACGUGACCACAGUAUAAAUGGAUGCGGAAAAGUUAGGUAUGACAACUUUCCACAAAACCCCUUAAAAGCCAAGGUAUCACAAGUAAUCCUUAAUACUUUGAGCAGUUUUGACAGGAAGCAGACACUUAAAUACAGCUGUGUCUCCAGACUAGUGAUCACAAUAGGCAUUUUCUUGGAUAGAGGGUAGAAACUUCAUAUUAAUAGAGAACUUAAGAUAACAGUUACUUCUCUGUUGAAGGAGAAGGGAUUUCCCUCCAUAACUCCAUCAUUUGUCUGCCUGGUUUCCAGCUCAAUUGCUCUGCCUCAGUCUGGAACAAAAGAUUUGCUUGCAAGUGCACAUUAUUAGGCUAGUUCAUGUUAAUUCAAAUUGGUAUGUAAAAUUGUAUCCAGAUUUAUCACAAUGUUAAUAAUUUUAGAAGAAAAAUAUGAUAAUGCAUGUCAUAUUUAUAUUAAUAUGUAGUUAGAUAUUUAAAAUUGCUGACAGUUGCAUCAAACUGCAAUCAAAUACCAAAUAAAACUCAUUCAACACCACACAGUAUUAGGGAUGUUUAGCAUUUUAAAGACAUGUAGGAUAGAAUAAUUCUAACAUUUUAAAAGAAGUCUUUGAUAAUAAUUGGCAAAGUGCAUAAAAAUAUUAACAAAGCAAUAACUAUAAGAUCAGAAGACUUAUUCGUGUUGGUCAUCUAUUCUGAAGUGUUUCAUUUCAGUGUUGUUUUCUAUUUUUUUUUUUUUUUUUCAAUUCAAAAGCCUGUUUUAUUUCCUGGUCACAUUUUCAGAAUUUUAACAUCACAUUUUAAUAUCACUUGUGAAAUAAAUCUUCUUUCACAAAUGUGGUAAAUCAUACUAUUAAAACCCAUGGAACAUAUGCUUCUAUUGCAUUGUACAAGAGAAAACAAAGUUCCAAGGCUACACCCCUUAUAGAGCAACAGGUAACUGAGAGAUCAUUUCUUACAGGGCACAGUGUGAAGUAAUUGGCUUUUGUGAUCUCUGGGAACUUCCCAACCAUCUUCAAGUACUAUUGCUUGCACAUUCACACUAAAUUUGACAGUGUACAUUAAAUGAAUGUUUUGACAUGCUCCAUGAAAAGUUCCCAAGGAUGUCUAUAAUCUGUGAAGUGAUGAGUGGACUUCCCUCACACCUGGCCAUGAUUCAUACACUUUACCAUACUCAGGUGAAACAGAAAAAAGUCUAGACAUCAGGAACAGUCAGAGGAUCUCAAAUGGACUGAAACAAUAAAUACAUGUAUUUCCAUUUGCGUGAGAUAAUAUUAUUAAAAACAGUCUACUUA